CCAGCUGAUUUCUAAGUAUUCAGCAAGCACUAAAAUACUAUUCAAUAAUUUGAUUAAGAAAAACUCAGCAGAAACAGACCAGUGAACAAAUGCAGAUUUCAAAUACCAGAGAGUUAGAGAGAGAUUUGCUGGAAAAGGCAGAAGAAAUGAAGAUAGUGCUUAGAAAGGGAGAAAACGAGGGAAGGAGAGAGAAAAAAAACAUGAGUAGGAACGUGAGGUCAGUUCUAAUAAUACUGAUAAGACCUUGUCAUGGCCACCACACCAUCUCACUCUACUAGAAAGAAUGGAGGCAGUGUUGGACAGCUGUGUGUGUGUCUGGCAGUUCACGCACAGGAAGAUUCAAUUUGAUGCUAAUCAUGUCUACGGAUCAAAACAUUCAAGUAGCAGUGAUGAAUCAAAG